rnacentral:rRNA from 1 species
GAUCCAGAGUACCACGAGACACGAGAAACCUUGUGGGAAGCAGGGGGGACCACCCUCCAAGGCGAAACACUGAUAUGGACCGAUAGCGAAUAGUACCGUGAGGGAACGGUGAAAAGAACCCCGGGAGGGGAAUGAAAGAGAACCUGAAACCGUAUGUCUACAAGCAGUCGAAGCGCUUUAUAUGCGCGACGGCGUGCCUAUUGAAGAAUGAACCGGCGAGUUGCUGGUGCUAGCGAGGUUAAGCAGAAAAUGCGGAGCCGCAGCGAAAGCGAGUCUGAACAGGGCGUAUAGUUAGUAACAGCAGACCCGAAACCACAGUGAUCUACCCAUGUCCAGGUUGAAGCACAGGUAAAAAUGUGUGGAGGACCGAACCAGUGAGCGUUGAAAAGCUUUUGGAUGAGAUGUGGGUAGGGGUGAAAUGCCAAUCGAACGUGGAGAUAGCUGGUUCUCCCCGAAAUAGCUUUAGGGCUAGCCUCAUGGCGAGAGUACAGGCGGUAGAGCACUGAACAGGGUAGGGGCCUAUCCGGCUACUGAACCUAAUCAAACUACGAAUGGCUGUACUUAUCCAUGGGAGUCAGACUGUGAGUAAUAAGGCCCAUAGUCAAGAGGGAAACAGCCCAGACCAACAGCUAAGGUCCCCAAUGCCGUACUAAGUGGCGAAGGAUGUGGAAUUUCAAAAACAACCAGGAUGUUGGCUCAGAAGCAGCCACCAUUAAAAGAGUGCGUAAUAGCUCACUGGUCGAGAGACUCUGCGCCGAAGAUGUCCGGGGCUAAAGUACGGAACCGAAGCUUUGGCAAUUAACUUAUGUUAAUUGGGUAGGGGAGCGUUCCUGCAUGGGAGAAGCCUGACCGGAAGGACAGGUGGACAGGCAGGAAGAGAGAAUGCCGGUAUGAGUAGCGAAAAGAAGGGUGAGAAUCCCUUCCACCGAAAGCCUAAGGGUUCCUGGGCAACGAUCGUCGUCCCAGGGUAAGUCGGGACCUAAUCCGAGGCGGAGACGCGCAGGAGAUGGACAACAGGUUGAAAUUCCUGUACUGGCUGAUUUCGUUUGAGCAAUGGAGUGACACAGGAAGGAAGGCGCGCGUGCGAUUGGAAGAGCACGUCCAAGCAGGUAGGUGGGAAGAUAGGCAAAUCCGUCUUCCCGGAAGCUGAGAUGCGAUGGGGAGCGACUGGAAACAGUCGCGAAGGGGCUGGCACUAAACUGUCGAGAAAAGCUUCUAGUGAGGAAUCAGGCACCCGUACCGAAACCGACACAGGUAGGCAGGAUGAGAAUUCUAAGGUGCGCGGGAAAACCCUCGUUAAGGAACUCGGCAAAAUGUAUCCGUAACUUCGGGAAAAGGAUAACCCGGCGUACGUGAAGUGCAGAAGCGCACGGAGCGGAACCGGGUGGCAGAAGAGAGGCCCAAGCGACUGUUUACCACAAACACAGGCGUCUGCUAAAGCGAAAGCUGAUGUAUAGAUGCUGACACCUGCCCGGUGCUGGAAGGUUAAGAGGAAGUGUUAGCGCAAGCGAAGCAGUGAAUUGAAGCCCCAGUAAACGGCGGCCGUAACUAUAACGGUCCUAAGGUAGCGAAAUUCCUUGUCGGGUAAGUUCCGACCCGCACGAAAGGUGUAACGAUUUGGGCACUGUCUCAACGAGGGACCCGGUGAAAUUGAAGUACCUGUGAAGAUGCAGGUUACCCGCGACUGGACAGAAAGACCCCAUGGAGCUUUACUGUAACCUGAGAUUGGAUUCCGGUAAGAGAUGUACAGGAUAGUUGGGAGGCGGAGAAGCAAGUACGCCAGUAUUUGCCGAGCCGAUGGUGGGAUACCAACCUUGUUUUAUUGGAAUUCUAACGAGAAGUAACGACUUGCGGACAGUCUCAGGCGGGCAGUUUGACUGGGGCGGUCGCCUCCGAAAGAGUAACGGAGGCGCCCAAAGGUUCCCUCAGCGCGGACGGAAACCGCGCGAAGAGUGCAAAGGCAGAAGGGAGCUUGACUGCGAGACGGACAGGUCGAGCAGGGACGAAAGUCGGGCUUAGUGAUCCGGUGGUA